rnacentral:rRNA from 1 species
GACGAACGCUGGCGGCGUGCCUAAUACAUGCAAGUCGAGCGAGACUCUUCGGAGUCUAGCGGCGGGCGGGUGAGUAACACGUGGGCAACCUGCCUGUAAGACUGGGAUAACACCGGGAAACCGGUGCUAAUACCGGAUAAUCCUUUUCUUCUCAUGAGGAAAAGCUGAAAGACGGUUUCGGCUGUCACUUACAGAUGGGCCCGCGGCGCAUUAGCUAGUUGGUGAGGUAACGGCUCACCAAGGCGACGAUGCGUAGCCGACCUGAGAGGGUGAUCGGCCACACUGGGACUGGGACACGGCCCAGACUCCUACGGGAGGCAGCAGUAGGGAAUCUUCCACAAUGGACGAAAGUCUGAUGGAGCAACGCCGCGUGAGCGAUGAAGGCCUUCGGGUCGUAAAGCUCAGUUGUUAGGGAAGAACAAGUACCGGAGUAACUGCCGGUACCUUGACGGUACCUAACCAGAAAGCCACGGCUAACUACGUGCCAGCCGCCGCGGUAAGAC